rnacentral:lncRNA from 1 species
CUGACCUUUUUGGUCAUGUUGACUUAUUUGUUGAUCUUACUUUGCUGAACAUUAUUGCUGUUUACAGUUUAUCUCUAUCUAUAAUAAUAUUUAAGAUAAUAACCAAAAACAGCAAAAUUUCCUUAAAAAUUUCUAAUUCAGGGGCAGCAACCCAACAACCAGUUGUCGGAUUCAUCUGAAAAUUUCAGGGCAGAUAGAUCUUGACUUGCAAAACAAUUUAACCCCAUGUCUGAUUUGCUCUUAAUGCUUUGGUUUCAGAGUUAUAAGCCAAAAUCUACAUUUUACCCCUAUGUUCUAUUUUUAGCCAUGGCGUCCGUCUUGGUAGGUUGGCAGGGUCACGGCAAACAUUUUUUAAACUAGAUACCUCAAUGAUGAUUAUGGCCAAGUAUGGUUAAAUUUGGACCAGUAGUUUUAGAGGAGAAGAUUUUUGUAAAAGAUAAAAAAAAUUGGUAAAAAUGACUAUAAAGUGCAAUAACUCCUUAAGGGGUCAACUGACCAUU